rnacentral:lncRNA from 1 species
GACUUCUACCUAGAAUCUCAGUCUGAACACUUUCAAGGCAUUGACAGUCGCAGAACUGAAAUGAAUGAAGGUUCUAGUCACGGAGCCGUGAGUUGCCAUAGUUUUUGAUGACUUAUUUUUAUUUUUGUUCUCUCCUUACCCCAAGGGGCUUGUCCUGUGCAUUUAACCUUGACACCUAUGAAGUCAUGCAUUUCCAGAGAACCUGGAGGACUGCAGGCACCAAAGAAUGAGGGUAGAGGUAUGCAAUGAAGAAUGAGUCUUCUCUAUCUAAGGACAAAAGAGAAGCAGGAGUCUCAGGAGAUUAGGGUCCAGCUGAGGGCAGAAAGAAGAAGCUUGGUAGAAAUGAGAAAAAAGAGGAGGUGGCUGAUUUACGGACAGUGACUUUCCAUUGAACCCAAAAGGGAUCAAGACUCUCCGGCUCACAAAUGUUCCCAGUCCAUGCCCUUCCUCCUGAUCUCAUCUGGAUUAUUCAGAUCCACAGGAGCCCACAAGCCACCCUGGAAACCUUGAGCCACUCACAACUCCUGGAGUCUGAGCAACCCAUCAGAGGUUGAACCAGGAUGCCUAUAAAAAGCCUUCUGCGUUCCCCUACAUACUCUUCAUGAAUCCUCAGGAAGAAUGGAAUAAGACAAGGGUCAGAGAGCUGGAGCCAGAUACUGAAGAUGCCAGGCUGGCUGGAGGCACUGGCGGCUGCACUUCCUCAGCCUGUCUCCUGUCUCUCUGGCUGGCAUGGCCUCUGCCUAUACUCCUUUAAGGGAAUUGGUCAUGCUCCUGGCUAGCCUCACCUGUGUGUCUACUACUUAUUGCAUAAAGGAAAGGUUAUUUCCACGCUCAGUUUUCUAGACACUUACAAGCACGGAUCUGUGAAUCAGUUAUGGCAGCAAAGAAUAAGUGGGAGAUUCAUCUUAACACCUGAACUACCUGCCAUUCCUGUCUCUGGGACUUGCCUGCCAUGUAAAAGCCAAUUCAGGAAACAUCAAGAGCCUCAAGCUAACCCUACAAAGCAGGGGCCUCCCAGAGCUCACACCAACCAUAAAAGGAGAGAAAGAGGCCAGCAGCCCUCACUAACUCUACAUCUGUCACAUGCGCAGGAUUCAGAAGACAUGAAGACUUCUAUACAUCCUCUCAACUUCUCCUCCACCAGGCAUUCCCAUUUCCAAAUUUCCGGAAUCCGGAAACUAUAUUCCAGCCUGUGGUGGUUUGAAUAUCCUUGGCCCAUGGAAAGUGGCCCUAUUGGGAGGUGUGAUCUUAUUGGAGGAGGUGUUACCUUGUUAGAGGAAGUGUGUCACUGUGGGGGUGGACUUUAGGGCUCCUAUGCUCAAGUUCUGCCCAGUGUGGAAUCAGAGCCUUCUGGCUGCCUGUGGAAGACAGUCUCCUCCUAGCAGUCUUUAGAUCAAGAUGUAAAACUCUUGGCUCUCUAGCACUCUCUAGUCUUCUGAGCAGGAGAGAAGAACGCACUGAAGGGCAGGGAAGACCUGGAAAUGAACAACAGCUCUUUGAAGGAGAUUAGGGAGUAAGAUGGUUUGUAUAUGCUUGGCCCAGUGAGUGGGCCAUAUUAGAAGGUGUGGCUCUGUUGGAGUAGGUGUGGUACUGUGGGUGUGGGCUUCAAGACCCUCUUCCUAGUUGCCAGGAAGCCUGUAUUCUGCUAGCAGCCUUCAGAUGAAGAUGUAGAACUCUCUCAUCCUGCCUGGAUGCUGCCAUGCUUCCACCUUGAGGAUAAUGGACUGAACCCCUGAGCCUGUAAGCCAGCCCCAAUUAAAUGCU